rnacentral:rRNA from 1 species
AGCAGCCGCGGUAAUUCCAGCUCCAAUAGCGUAUAUUAAAGUUGUUGCAGUUAAAAAGCUCGUAGUUGAAUUUCGGGAUCAAUUUGUUGGUCGUGCCUCGGUACGUACUGGCAUUAUUGGUUUCUACCUUCUGAAGAACCUUGAUGUCAUUAAUUUGGUGUCUUGGGGAAUCAGGACUGUUACUUUGAAAAAUUAGAGUGUUUAAAGCAGGCAUACGCUUGAAUACAUUAGCAUGGAAUAAUGAAAUAGGACGUUUGAUUCUAUUUUGUUGGUUUCUAGGAUCGACGUAAUGAUUAAUAGGGAUAGUUGGGGGCAUUAGUAUUCAAUUGUCAGAGGUGAAAUUCUUGGAUUUAUUGAAGACUAACUACUGCGAAAGCAUUUGCCAAGGAUGUUUUCAUUAAUCAAGAACGAAAGUUAGGGGAUCGAAGACGAUCAGAUACCGUCGUAGUC